rnacentral:snoRNA from 1 species
UGGUCAUUACCAAGGCUUUUAGAAUGAAGCUUCUUAUUUGCUGUGUACAUCACCAUACAAGAUUUUCCACUAGAUUUUCUAUCUGCCUUGUUAGCAGUCAGCCUAUUGGGAACUUUU